rnacentral:rRNA from 1 species
UAGGGAAUAUUGCACAAUGGAGGAAACUCUGAUGCAGCGACGCCGCGUGAGUGAUGAAGGACUUCGGUUCGUAAAGCUCUGUCGUACGGGAAUAAUAAAGUGAAUGUACCGUGCAAGAAAGGAUCGGCUAACUUCGUGCCAGCAGCCGCGGUAAGACGAGGGAUCCUAGCGUUGUUCGGAAUCAUUGGGCGUAAAGCGGGUGCAGGUGGCUUUGUAAGUCAGGUGUGAAAUCCCAGGGCUCAACCCUGGAAGUGCAUUUGAUACUGCAAAGCUUGAGUGCUGGAGAGGCUAUUAGAAUACCUGGUGUAGUGGUGAAAUACGUAGAUAUCAGGUGGAAUACCGGAGGCGAAGGCGGAUAGCUGGCCAGACACUGACACUCAUACCCGAAAGCGUGGGGAUCAAACA